rnacentral:rRNA from 1 species
GAUGAACGCUGGCGGCGUGCUUAACACAUGCAAGUCGAACGAUGAAGCCCAGCUUGCUGGGUGGAUUAGUGGCGAACGGGUGAGUAACACGUGAGUAACCUGCCCUUGACUCUGGGAUAAGCGCUGGAAACGGCGUCUAAUACCGGAUACGAGCUUCCACCGCAUGGUGAGUUGCUGGAAAGAAUUUCGGUCAAGGAUGGACUCGCGGCCUAUCAGGUAGUUGGUGAGGUAACGGCUCACCAAGCCGACGACGGGUAGCCGGCCUGAGAGGGUGACCGGCCACACUGGGACUGAGACACGGCCCAGACUCCUACGGGAGGCAGCAGUGGGGAAUAUUGCACAAUGGGCGCAAGCCUGAUGCAGCGACGCCGCGUGAGGGACGAAGGCCUUCGGGUCGUAAACCUCUUUUAGCAGGGAAGAAGCGAAAGUGACGGUACCUGCAGAAAAAGCACCGGCUAACUACGUG